UACGUAGGGGGCAAGCGUUGUGCGGAUUUACUGGGCGUAAAGAGCGUGUAGGCGGCCAAGCAGGUCCGUUGUGAAAACUGGAGGCUUAACCUCCAGACGUCGACGGAAACCGCGUGGCUAGAGUCCGGAAGAGGAGAGUGGAAUUCCUGGUGUAGCGGUGAAAUGCGCAGAUAUCAGGAAGAACACCAAUGGCGAAGGCAGCUCUCUGGGACGGUACUGACGCUGAGACGCGAAAGCGUGGGGAGCGAACAGG
rnacentral:rRNA from 1 species